rnacentral:rRNA from 1 species
CAAUAGCGUAUAUUAAAGUUGUUGCAGUUAAAAAGCUCGUAGUUGGAUUUCUGGGAGGGUGCCGCCGUCCGGCGUGUCCGUGUGCAGUGGCGCCCUUCCAUCCUUCUGUUAGCGUCUCUUGGCAUUCAUUUGCUGGUGGCGGGCUCAGAUAUUUUACCUUGAGAAAAUUAGAGUGUUUCAGGCAGGCUAGGCCGGAAUACAUUAGCAUGGAAUAAUGGAAUAGGACUACGGUCUCUUUGUUGGUUUGAGGGACUGCAGUAAUGAUUAAUAGGGAUAGUUGGGGGCAUUAGUAUUUAAUUGUCAGAGGUGGAAUUCUCAGAUUUGUUAAAGACUAACUUAUGCAAAAGCAUUUGCCAAGGAUGUUUUCAUUAA